rnacentral:sRNA from 1 species
CUAGAGGCUGUAAGUCCACAGAAACCUAUCAGGUGACAGACAUUUAAUCUACAGUUGGAGAUUGAAAUCAGAAACUUGAAAACUUAUUCACAAGG